ACUCCUACGGGAGGCAGCAGUGGGGAAUAUUGCACAAUGGGGAAACCCUGAUGCAGCCAUGCCGCGUGUGUGAAGAAGGCCUCGGUUGUAAGACACUUCUAGCAGUGAGGAAGGCGGAGUCGUUAAUAGCGGCCUCGUUUGUACGUUAGCUGCAGAAGAAGCACCGGCUAACUCCGUGCCAGCAGCCGCGGUAAUACGGAGGGUGCGAGCGUUAAUCGGAAUUACUGGCGUAAAGCGCAUGCAGGUGGUUUGUUAAGUUCAGAUGUGAAAGCCCGGGGGCUCAACCUCGGAAUUGCAUUUGAAACUGGCAGACUAGAGUACUGUAGAGGGGGUAGGAAUUUCAGGUGUAGCGGUGAAAUGCGUAGAGAUCUGAAGGAAUACCGGUGGCGAAGGCGGCCCCCUGGACAGAUACUGACACUCAGAUGCGAAAGCGUGGGGAGCAAACAGGAUUAGAUACCCGUGGUAGCACA
rnacentral:rRNA from 1 species